rnacentral:rRNA from 1 species
AUGGGCGCAGCCUGAUGCAGCCAUGCCGCGUGUGUGAAGAAGGCCUUCGGGUUGUAAAGCACUUUCAGUCGUGAGGAAGGUAGUGUGUUUAAUAGAUGCAUUAUUUGACGUUAGCGACAGAAGAAGCACCGGCUAACUCCGUGCCAGCAGCCGCGGUAAUACGGAGGGUGCGAGCGUUAAUCGGAAUUACUGGGCGUAAAGCGCAUGCAGGUGGUGUGUUAAGUCAGAUGUGAAAGCCCGGGGCUCAACCUCGGAAUAGCAUUUGAAACUGGCAGACUAGAGUACUGUAGAGGGGGGUAGAAUUUCAGGUGUAGCGGUGAAAUGCGUAGAGAUCUGAAGGAAUACCGGUGGCGAAGGCGGCCCCCUGGACAGAUACUGACACUCAGAUGCGAAAGCGUGGGGAGCAAACAGGAUUAGAUACCCUGGUAGUCCACGCCGUAAACGAUGUCUACUUGGAGGUUGUGGCCUUGAGCCGUGGCUUUCGGAGCUAACGCGUUAAGUAGACCGCCUGGGGAGUACGGUCGCAAGAUUAAAACUCAAAUGAAUUGACGGGGGCCCGCACAAGCGGUGGAGCAUGUGGUUUAAUUCGAUGCAACGCGAAGAACCUUACCUACUCUUGACAUCCAGAGAACUUAGCAGAGAUGCUUUGGUGCCUUCGGGAACUCUGAGACAGGUGCUGCAUGGCUGUCGUCAGCUCGUGUUGUGAAAUGUUGGGUUAAGUCCCGCAACGAGCGCAACCCUUAUCCUUGUUUGCCAGCGAGUAAUGUCGGGAACUCCAGGGAGACUGCCGGUGAUAAACCGGAGGAAGGUGGGGACGACGUCAAGUCAUCAUGGCCCUUACGAGUAGGGCUACACACGUGCUACAAUGGCGCAUACAGAGGGCGGCCAACUUGCGAAAGUGAGCGAAUCCCAAAAAGUGCGUCGUAGUCCGGAUUGAGUCUGCAACUCGCUCCAUGAAGUCGAAUCGCUAGUAAUCGUGGAUCAGAAUGCCACGUGAAUACGUUCCCGGGCUUGUACACACCGCCCGUCACAACAUGUAUGGGGCUGCAAAAGAGUGGGUAGUUACUUCGGAGACGCUCACCACUUUGUGUUCAUGACUGGGGUGAAGUCUAACAAGGUACCGUAA